rnacentral:rRNA from 1 species
GCCCUUGUAAUAAUCAAAGGUGUAACCUGCCCAGUGGCUCAAAAAUAAAUAGUAAUAAAUAUACUAAAAAAGAGCUAAAAGGACGCAGUAUCUUGACUGUGGUAAUGUAGCAUAAUCACUUGCCACCUAAUUAGUGGAUAGUAUGAAUGGUUGAACGAAUAUUUCACUGUCUCCUCUUGAAAAUUCUUUAAAUUAAGAUAAUAGUAAAGACGCUAUUUAAUACUGUAAGACGAAAAGACCCUAUAGAGCUUAACUAUAAUCUACAUUAAAAAAUAAGAACAAAUAAUUCUAAUAUAUGUAGACUGGUAGUUUAGUUGGGGCGACUAUCUUCUAAAUAAAACGAAGACAAGCAAUGUUAAUAAAAAAACUUAUUGUAUAAUAAAUAUAUUUAACAAUUAUAAAAAUAGGCUAUAAUGACCCAUUAAGAUUUAAUAAUAAACUCAAUGAUCAAUAAAUAAAAGCUACCUUAGGGAUAACAGGAUAAUUUUGUUUUAGAGAUCCUAUCGAAAACAAAGUUUGUCACCUCUAUGUUGAAUUAAGAUAACCUAGUAAUGCAGAAGUUACUGAAGGUGGGUCUGUUCGACCCAUAAAAUCUU